UCAAAUAUUCCAGCUUACAUUACGUACCAGUGUAGUAGUUGCGUACCUGGAAAUGGCAAUACAAUGAAAGGAAAAAGAGAUCAGCAACAAUACCAACACCAGCAAUCAACAACAGUUCACAACAGCAACUCAAACAAAUUCAAGGUCCAGAAAAGUUUGGAAACCAAACAGGAUCAAUAGAACAGCCCCGAAAUAAUACCAAAAGUCAGAUUUGAACCCAGGAACUGAAAUGCAAACAACCAGUUGUUCCACCAACUAACUCAAACCAAUCAAACUUGAAACUAAUGGAUUCCGAGUGAAAUCAAAUCUCGAAUGCAGGAUAGAAACAGAUAGUUCGAUUUGUUUCUAAUCUUAAAUGAGCUAAGGAAUUGAAUUCUAUCCCAACACUUCAAAUGAUCCGAAAAGAGGUAAUGAAACUGUAACAUUUCUCUUUCAGCUCUCAAGUCUCUCUAAAACUGACUACCUUCCCAACUCUCAAAGAUGUUGUUCAAAAAAAACUGGCCAACCUCUCAAAAACUCAGUCUGUUUCAAGCUCUAAAGAAACUCUCCAAAAAUGUUCGAAAAAAAAACUCUCAAUGCCUUUAAAGCCCUCCAAAUUAACUGACUUCUUCAUGUCAAAUUUCAACCUUAAACUCCCUCUUAAGUUCUGAACCUCUUUCUUAAUAAACCAGUUCGAUACUUUCCGCUCUCCUAAUACUUAAAAUCUAAUCUUCAAAAAUCCAGUCCCUUUUCAGUUUUGUAUCAAUCCUCUAUAUAAGCUAGAACCAAACAUUUUCUAUUCUAAAUUCCUCAUUUUUCAGCAUGUUUUUAUUUCCUCCCCAUGUGCAUCCUUUACCCUUUUAUCAUUAACCCCUUAAUGUUCUGAUCUUCCACUAGUAAAGUCCUUAUGACAACUCAAACAGUACCCCUUUUUAUUUAAUUAAUUCAAAAACCUGUCAGUUUUAACUGGUCAUUCCUAUUUUUAAAAUUGAACCCCAUGCUGUUUCUGAUUUCCAACUAGCAAACCCACUGAUUUCAUUUUUUAAUCUUAAAGUAUAUGGGGAGCAUGAAUAUUAAUUUCAGGCGCGCCUACAACACAUGGGCUUCACUCAAAUCCCCUAACUCUAUGCUUACUGGUCUGAAACUACAACAUAUAAAAACUCAUACUAAAAAACUAAUUUCAGAUGGAAUUGACAUACUAUUAUAGCCAAUUCAUCCUAGAUUCAGAUUUUAAUUCAAACAAAUGACUCAAUCAGAAUUGAAGCCGUGAAUUAUCAGCAAAUUUGCUAUCAUGUUAUUCCAACAUUCAAACAUGUAAAGCUAAUCGACGACACUUAUUUAUUCGACUAAAUACACAAAAUAGAUAGGCUAAACAUGGAAUAGAGUGAUUCAUGAUUUUGGGACGAACUAGGGGAACUUAACAUGAACUAACUAUUGGACAAUUUUAACCAAGUUGAACACAUAGUUCAUCGCAACCAAUUAACAAACAAAACAGAAAACCGACCAAAUAAAGGGCUUGUGGGAGAUGAAGGAUUUGACAGGAAAAUAAAUAGAAAAAUCAAAUAAAUAAAAACAAAUAUGAAAAUGAACGCAAAUGAUCACAAACAAAAAUAGAAGGAAAAAGAAAACUUAUCUUUCAAAAACUCCUGACCAAACGGACUAGUCUUGAGUCAGACUUGACCAUUUGAGGUCGAACACACUCCCAUCGGGGUGUUCUCAGUUGAGAACACCUAGAUUAAAGACUAUUAUACCUCAAUCUCCCAUCAAUUUGAACAGACGCCUAAUUUUGGAUUUUAUGGUUCAUACAGGUUAUUUGGGACUUGGGUUUUCUAGUUAGAUUCGAACCAAACCCUUGUUGGUUUAGGCAUAAGGGAGGUCAGGGGAGUGUUAGGUAUCAAUUUGGGGUGGUUUGGAGUAAAUUGAGUUUUGGCUCGACUCUUCAAAUGAAGAUUCGAGAAGUUGCCGUUUGAUUCGAGACCAACGGGUAACAGAUUCAUGUUUAGGGUGUCAAGGAGGUUAAGGGGUGUUAGUUUGGUGGACACUGGCAUCGUUGCCUCCAGGUUUCUGGUGUAAAUCACCUCAUGGCGGCUAGGGUUUCAAGGGGAGGUCUGGUCUCUGCGGGUUUGAGAGAGACGACGAAAUGAAAAGGGUGG
rnacentral:lncRNA from 1 species